CGGAAGUGCGCACAGCUGCUGAGGGCCGAGGGCGGCGUGGGCGCGUCUCCGGUGUCCUGGCGCGUCUCUAGAUCCUUCCCAGGAGUUCCAUUAUGGGCGUAAGAGGUUUGCAUGGGUUUGUGGCAAGUAGCUGCCCACAUGUAUGCACCGUAGUGAACUUCAAGGAGCUGGCAGAGCGCCACCGGAGCCAGCACCCCGGAGGGACGCCCGCCAUUGUGGUCGACGCCAUGUGCUGCCUCAGGUACUGGUACACGCCGGAGUCCUGGGUCUGCGGCGGGCAGUGGCGGGAAUACUACUCUUCUUUGCGAGAAUUCGUGAGCGCUUUUACCGCUGUUGGCAUCAAGCUGAUCUUCUUCUUCGAUGGCAUGGUGGAGCAGUCCAAGAGAGGCGAGUGGGUGAAACGCAGACUCAAGAACAAUAGGGAGAUAGCCAAGAUCUUCCACCACAUCAAGUCCCACAGGGAGCAGCCGGGCAGAAACAUGUUCUUCAUCCCCUCCGGGCUGGCCGUAUUCACACGGUUUGCUUUGAAGGCCCUGGGUCAGGAGACUCUGUGCUCGCUACAGGAGGCCGACUACGAGGUGGCCUCCUACGGCUUCCAGAACAACUGCCUUGGGAUUCUUGGAGAAGACACUGACUACUUAAUCUAUGACACCUGUCCCUACUUUUCUAUCAGCGAGCUCUCCCUGGACAGUCUGGACACCGUCAUGCUCUGCCGGGAGAAGCUCUCUCAGAGCCUCGGGCUCCGCCUGGCCGACCUACCUCUGCUGGCCUGCCUGCUUGGCAAUGACGUCGUUCCAGAAGGCAUGUUCGAGAGCUUUCGGUACAAGUGCUUGACUUCCUAUGCCUCUGUGAGAGAGAGCUGUGACAGAAAAGGUAAUGUUAUCUUAGCUGUAGCAGACCACAUAUCUAAAGUUCUUCGGUUGCAUCAAGGUGAGAAAAAGCUGGAAGAGAUGCUGCCUUUGGGACCAAACAAAGCUCUUUUUUAUAAAGGAGUAGCAUCGUAUCUUUUGCCAGGACAGAAAUCUCCAUGGUUUAUCCAAAAACCUAAAGAUGUAGUAACUUUGGACAAGCAGGUACUAUCCAUGAGUUCAGAUCCUGAAUCUAAGCAAGAGGUUCCCAUGUGUAUGGACCCUGAAUCCAGGCAGAAAUUACCUGUAGGUACAGACCCUGAAUGUAACCUAGAAGCAGCCAUGUGUGCAAACGCUGAAGUUAAACAGGAAGACCCUGUAAAUAUGGGGCUUGAAGCCAAACAUCAAGGAACUGUGGUUUCGGAUCCUGAAAUCUUAAAGGUCGCCAGAGCGCAGCAUGUCCGGGCGGAGAGCUACCUGGUGUACAGCGUGAUGAGCAGCGGCGAGGUGGAGUGCAGCAGCAGCCUGGAGGACGCCACGGACCAGGCCCUGCCCAGCCAGGCCUUUGUCUACCGCCCCGUGCGACAGCGCGUCUACUCCCUUCUGCUGGGGGGUGGCGGAGGUGGUUCCAGCACCGGCCCCGCUGUCAAGGAGUGGUUUGUAUACUCUGGGAACCCACUGAGGCAGCCAGACCUCGUCAGGCCUCUGCAGAUGAACCUUCCAGGGGGACCGCCUAGUUUGAGACAACUGUGGCUGAGCCAAGAGCCAGGAAUCCAGGCCCAGCGCUUGGACACACUGCUGGCCUGCUUCGACCUUUCAUCCUCACGAGAAGAGCUGCAGGCGGUUGAGCGCCCCUUCCAGGCGCUGUGCUGCCUCCUGGCCUACCUGUUCGUGCAGGUGGACACUCUCUGUCUGGAGGAUUUGCACGCCUUCAUUGCGCAGGCCCUGUGCCUCCAAGGAAAGCCUGCCGUGGAGCUCGCAGACUUGCAGCUUGACCACAUCGACCCCAGAGCUGUGCAGCUGGCCACCCUCCUGGUGCGCGGUCUCACCACCCUGGUGCUGGUCAAUGGUGCCUGCGGCUCCCCCUGGGAGAUGGCUGACUUCAUGCCCUGGCACCUGUUCGACGGGAAGCUGUUUCAUCAGAAGUACCUGCAGUCCGAGAAAGGGUACACUGCAGAGGUGCUCGUGGAGCAGAACAGGUCCCACGUCACCAGAUUCCACACCCUGAAGUCGGUCGUGUGCAAGGCCUGUGGGAAGGAGAACAGACCGAUCGUCAGCAGGCGGCACUGGCGUCCACACCACGCAGGGCGGUGGGGCCGACAGGGAUCCAGCUCCCACGGGACAAGCUCCGGGUACAGCCGGUCUGGCCACGGACAGCACUGGAGGGACCAGGGGCCAGCCUUUGAGGUGCAUGCCGUGCUCCGGCCUCUCGUUGCUGUGCCUGACUGCUGCCAGUCAUCACGGCGGCGUGACCCAGGACUCCUGGGGUGACCCUGGUCCCGUGGGUGGCCUGAGGGCUGUGUUCCUCCUGCUGGUUCUUGAAGGAUCUGCACACUUAGCGGAUAUUUGGGGUCCGCAGUAGGGUUCCAUGAGGCCCCACCUCUGGAGGGGAGAAAAGCCCCCACAGAAGUAGACAGUAUGAGCCUGACCAGUGGAGAAGAUAUUAGUCAUCUUCUGGAAAAAGUGUGCACAGAAGAAGCUGCAGAAUCUGGCUGUCAAACCAGAGUGAAGCCUCUGGAUCCUCUGGGCCCUCCUUCAGAGUGAAGUCAUCUGAGGAGAGGCUCACCGGGGCUUCCAGACCCAGAGUCACAAGAGGAAAAGCGUCUAUGUCAGCCUUCUUCCUCAUUCAACUUUAGAACGCCUUUGUGGGCUUACUUGUAGAUGUCAUCCUGACUCCACGUCCCCAAACAGCCAUGGUUAACGUCUUCAUGCCGGUCUGCAUCUGUUGAUUCUUUUAAUGAAUUGAAAUCUUAUGAUAUCCCACUUUUUUUUAACUUUAAUACUAGAGGAUUAAAGUUGUGAGGAUAUUUCCCAGAUGAUCUUAUCUUUUAAGACAUGAUGUCUAAUAAGCUGUAUCAUUUUCCAGAAAUUAUUUACUAAUCAUAAAUUGUAACCAGAAGUAAAGUUUCCAGCUGUACCUUCACAGAGAAAGAUGUACCAGCUUCCUUCUCACCUUUUUGGUGGGAGAGGUGACUGCACGGUCUUGACAUUGCCUGUGACGCAUGGGUCUGUUUCAGUUGUUUCACCCUUUUAUUUAGAAUUUGCUCCAGCCCAGAGCCUGUGCCUGUGAAGACACCUGGAUUCAGCACACGCUAGGCAUCAGACAGGAAGCCUGCAAACCAUGUAGGGAGAAGCAGUAGUUGAGUGUCAGGACGCCUGAUUUAUGAUGCCGCUAACAAGUGGGACAUCUGUUGCUCUUCAUCUGUGAGCCCUGAAGGGCUCUUGUUAAAAAAUAUUCUAAAUGAAUCCAAUUUCAGAGACAUUCUAUUCAUGAAAGAAUUUUCACAUAAUCUAAGAAUUGAAAUUUUAAGCCCCAGAUUGUCCUGACCUCAGCCCCUGGGUAUUUUGACAAUUGAAAAUAAUCUAGAUUAGGGAUUAGGUUAGCAGCUGUCUCCCUUUGGCCUGGAGCUGGUGUGACUACCAACCCACCUUCCAGGCUGCACCCGCACCCAGGAGAGCCUCUGAGUCGUGCUUGCCUGCGCUCACAAGACAUGUCCUUCAGCUGAUGUCAUCAAAACAAAAUAAACCCUAAACAAAUCAUAGUGCACUUUGUAUCUUAGCUCUUGAUGCUUUAGCCUGACUGACAGCUGUGUGUGCAGGCUCCUUACUUUGUUUUAGAAUCUCAUUUGGUAAUAUGUGUGGCUCAGAUGGUUAAGUGUCUGCCUACAAUGUGGGAGACCCGGGUUCAAUCCCUGGGUUGGGAAGAUCUCCUGGAGAAGGAAAUGGCAACCCACUCCAGUAUUCCUGCCUGGAGAAUCCCAUGGAUGGAGAAGCCUGGUAGGCUACAGUCCAUGGGGUCGCAAAGAGUCGGACACGACUGAGUGACUUCACUUUCACUUUCACCAAAAAGAAAUAUAGUCUCCUAUUCAUUUCCUGCAGGUCCUUCUUUAGGACAUCUGCAUGUCUAGUCACUUUUUAUGUAGUCAUGUAGGACCUAUAGCCUUAUUUCCCAAUUUCAGAAAUAGAAUUUUUUUAUAUGUAGGUUUCCUGUCUAAAAUUUUAACAUUCUGUUCAUUUUGUUUUUGCUAAUUUGAUACCACUACUGCUUCUAGAAAUUUCAUUUCUUUGUUGCUUAUUUGUAUAACUUUGAAAUAAAUCUCUCACUCCUUAGACUAGAAGAGUAGACCCCCAUGAAUGUCAUCUCCCCUUUCAUAAGUGAAUUGAUAAAAUCUUUACUACGUUUGGAAAACCAGUGCUGUGAUUUUUUUUUGGUAAUUUUGGUGGUGUUAUAUUAUCUCUGCAGUUAAGUCUUCUGAUGAAGGUUCCAUAUAUCAGUUUUAAAAUGAAAAUAAAAGUAUUAUU